rnacentral:rRNA from 1 species
CAAUAGCGUAUAUUAAAGCUGUUGCGGUUAAAAAGCUCGUAGUUGGAUUUCUGUCAAGGACAACUGGUCCGCCCCUCGGGUGAGCACAUAGUUUGGUCUUGGCAUCUUGUUGGAAACUGUUGCUGCACUUGGUUGUGUGGCGCAGUGUCCAGCACUUUCACUUUGAGGAAAUUGGAGUGUUUCAAGCAGGCACAUGCCUUUGGACACAGUAGCAUGGAAUAAUUAGAUUGGGCUUUUGCUCCAACUUGUCGGUUUCUGGAGCUGAGGUGAGAAUUAAUGGGGAUUGUUGGGGGCAUCCGAAUUUAGCCGUCAGAGGUGAAAUUCCUGGAUCUGCUAAAGACGGACAACUGCGAAAGCGUUUGCCCAGGAUGUUUUCAUUGA